CCUGGUCAGUCAACAGGAAGUGUCCCUGGGUGGUCAACAGGAAUUGUCCCUGGGCAGUCAACAGAAAUCUUGGGUGGUCAACAAGAAGUCCCUGAGUGAUCAACAGAAAGUCCCUGAGUGGCCCUGCCUCCCCUGCCCUGCAGCUCUCCUCCAGUGCUGUCAACACCCACGCCGCUCUAAAUGUCCCCAGCUGUGCCAGCUGCCUCAGCGUGACUGCAAGGCUGGAGUACAAUGGCGCGAUCUCGGCUCACCGCAACCUCCGCCUCCUGGGUUCAGGCAAUUCUCCUGCCUCAGCCUCCUGAGUAGCUGGGAUUACAGGCACGCGCCACCAUGCCCAGCUAAUUUUUUGUAUUUUUAGUAGAGAUGGGGUUUCACCAUGUUGACCAGGAUGGUCUCGAUCUGCUGACCUCGUGAUCCACCCACCUCGGCCUCCCAAAGUGCUGGGAUUACAGGCUUGAGCCACCGCGCCCAGCCUCAAAUAUCUUUUAAACAAAGCAAAUCGAGGUUCCAAACACUGUAAAGAAAACUGCCACCGUCUUAUUUAUAAGCAUCAGUGAAAAAUCCAAAAUAAAAUGUCAGCAAGCUGAAUUCUGUCACACGUUAUGUGGAUAACGAGAAUUCAGCGACCACGUCAGAUUUUCGGCAGCUGCAAGAAUCACCCAGUAUUUAGGGAUAUACCACAAUCAACCGCUGAUAGCUACAUGAGGCACAGUUACUUCCCCAUAUCCACAACGGCACUAGAGCUUAUUUAAUGUCCAUUCUUGAAGUUUUAAAUCUAAUACGCUUUAAAUCUAAUAAGUUUUAAAUCUAAUCUUGAGGUUUUAAAUCUUCGCUACCACAUGAUGAAAUACAUCUGCCUCUGCUACCAGGACAACUCUGAAGCAUCCGGUGCUAGAGGUGCUUCCGUGAAGCCAAGAAGAAAAUGAGAGUAUCCACUGUCGCCAGUGCUCUGACACAGUUCAGGAGUGUUCGCCAGCACCAGCAGACAAGAAAAGGAAAUCACAGUAACCGAGACCAGAAAGCCGACGGUGAAGUGUGCAGGGGAUGCCACUGUCAACCGGGAGAAAGAGAGCUGGGUGCAGAAAACAACACAGAGAGGCCGCAGCCUGUGUGAAAAGGACGAGGCUGGAGCUGGAACGAGAGAAAAGAUGUCACUCACAAUAGCAACAACAAAGUGGAACUGCCUAUGGAUGAAGGAGAAUAAAGUGGGCCUGGCGGAGAGACCGUCCUCACGCUGUCCUGAGGGCCACAAAAGGCCUGGGAACAAAUGGGAAGGUGGCCGUGUUUUUGGAUGAGAAGAUUCAAUGCCAUAGAAACACCUAAGUGUAUCUAUGAAGUACACGUCAUUCCAAUAAAAACACCAACUGAAUUGUUUAGGUUAAACGGAUAAGUUGAUUCUACAGUUUACUGAACAAUGAAAUAAGCAAAGAGCCAGGAAAAUUCCAGGGAAGAAUACAAAAGAGGACCAGCCCCCCCGUAUCAAAAUUUCAAAUAAAUCAGUAAUAAUUUAAAGAAGCAUGACCCUUGCACAUGAACAACAGACAAAUCAACGGGACAGACUGAAGCAUCUGAAAAACCCCCAAGUACACAGGGGCCUUGGGAUAUCACCACGGCUACGGUGCUGAACUGCGAGAGGCUGGCCGUGUCAUGAAAGGCUCGGGUGACCAGAAUGGGCUAUGAAGAGGUAAGCUGGAGUCCUCCCGUCCUCCCCAGCGUGGUCACAAACGCGGAGUGUCGGAAAGGGCCUGGAGGUACCAGGAGAAACCGGGAGCAAGUGCACUUUCUACUCUCAGAGGCUCAGGAAGACCUUUGAGAACCGGACACCCAGUUGGGAAGCCACAGAAGAGAGCAGUAGCAUUGACUGCUGACAUUAUUUUAAAAUCUGUAUGGAAAUGCAGAUGGCAAACAAGGUCAAAAGACAGGAACACAGCAAAUGCAGUCAAAACUCACAUCACAGACACAGGGCUGGUUCCAUCAAGUGAACGGUGAGCCGACAAAUUAAUAAGAGAAAAUAACAGUGGAGAAGAAGUCAGAGGACGUCUCCAGCAAGAAAAUACUGGCAACGUUCAAAGGGUGUUUGAGGUGCUUGGGAGAGAAAUGCAUUUCCAUCUCUCGAACGGCUCCCAAAGCAGCCAGUUACGCAGGGUGGGGGUGGGAAGCCACCGCUGGCUCCCACCUGGGAGCACCCUACACGGCUCUGCAGAGGCAUUUUGGGGCGUCCACCCCACAGCACAGGGGCAUGUGCCCUCCCACCCACACUCUCCUGGGGAAUCUGAGCCUGAGAUGCACCCUCAGUCUUCAGCACAACUGCUCAGACAGAGGGAGCACGGCAGCCCAGGCGCAACGGGGCGCGUGUCUGUGCUCACGGGGAUGUGGCACUGUCUGGAAGGAUGCUGGGGAGAGGCGGGUGUCAGGGUCGGGAGGAGGGUGGCCUCACCGCAGGUCAGCCACACCUCCGGCAUCCUGUGCCAUGCUUGUGCGGUAUCUGGGUUAGGAAAUGAUUAGAACUGAACCUGGAGGGCAGCCCUCCCACGCCUGGGGUGGGUGCUGCUGUCAUCACUGGGUGCACUGUCUUCAAAAUCCCUCUCUGCAGAACUAGAACCCACCCCCGAAACCCCUCCCUGCAUGCUGCGCAUGUGCUGAGCCUAGACACAUUGAAAAAUACUCCGUAGACGUAAGUUCCUGGGUCCAGCCCAGCACACAGAAGGCUCCUAGCUCUCGCCUGCCCAGCGGAAAUCAUGGGCGGCCUUGAGGGCCAGCCAGGCUGCCAACUGGACAGGUGGCCUCACCUCCCUAAGCCUCCCAGUUACCCCACCUGGGCCAUGGAGUUCAUCCUCCCUAUCUGGGUGAAAAGGGCACUUCCACCAUACCUAGGCCCAGGGCCAGGCACCCAGCAGGCAUGUGGGGAAGGCCAGUCCAGACCCCUGGGCCCCUGGUGCGCUGGGGUUCCUGCCUGUCUAUAGCCUGGGGAGACCCCACCCUGCCUACGGAGGCUCUAUGCUGCUCCCCACAUUCUCAGGAAUGCACUGGGAGGGGCGUCCUCUUCUGGCAGCUAGGACCCAGGCCCCCCCACCUCCCAGGACUCCCCAAAACUUACCCUGGGCCCUGGGAAGCCCUGCUCUCCUGGGGUGCCAUUCCUCCCUGGGAGGCCCUGCAGAGGCACAAGGAGGGCUAAGCCCCCAGAACCACCCCAUGCUGGGCCCACCCUGGGCCCCUAGCCCCACCCAGCUGGACUGUCCACUACUGUCCUGGGGAAGGAAGCAGCUUCCAGGGCAAGGGCACACUAGCCCGUCCACCAUUCUCACAGGCAGGCAGGUCUGAGUUCAAACCCCGGCCCCCUGAGUGGCCAGGCCUGUGGACACUGAGCUCCAGUGAGUGUGCCUGACUGGUCCCGUGCAGCCAGCUCUGGAAGCCCCAGCCAUCACCUGUGGGGUCCUGGAAACUUGGGGUGAGCAGGUCCUAGGACCUCUCAGGACCCACCCCAUGGUUGGGUACCUGGCCUGGAGGGCCGCCUCCCCAAGGCCUGAGCAGAAGCCCCUGUGGCUCCUGCUGAGUAAGCUGGGCUGCCAGUACCCAGGACAGUGGCCGUCCAAGUGGCUGUGACCCACGGCAGCCCACGUCGCACCCUGGGCCACAGCACAGUCCUGGAUCCCCGCUGCACCUGGGCCCCCUUCCUAACCCUGACACUGGAAAACACUGGAUUCCAUGCCAGAGGAGGGCUCAGGAGGGGGAGGCCCAGCGGCGGGAGGAAGGGGCUGGUCUAGGCCUCUGCCUCAUGGCCCAGGGCAGGUGCAGCAGGAAGGCUCACGAAGUACAUCGCAACUCUGCAUCAGGACCGGGGUAUGGACUGGGACGGGAGGGUCUGGGUUCCACAUCCACCAGUGGCAGCACUACGUCAGCCAGGGGUCCCCGGUCACCCAGGGAGACACUGCUGGACUCACUGGGGGUCCUUGGGGCCCUGGGGGUCCAGGGGUCUCUGAGGAACAGGUACAGGCAGACACAAAGGCCGGGCAGGUCUCUCCAUCCUUCUGGAAGAAGAGAGACUGCUCAUUAGAGAGACCCUGGCUCUUGCCUGACGGUACAGCUGAGCUUAGCCAAGGACACCUGGGCCCCAGGGAAACUUCCAGACCUGCAUCUGGAGGUGGGGGGAGGGUCGGGGGCACAAGCGCACGGGGCGGAGUAAGGUCUGGGCACAAGCACAUGGGGAGAAGGCCUGGGCACAAGCGCAUGGGGUGAAGGUCUGGGCACAAGCGCAGGGGCGAAGGUCUGGGCACAAGUGCACAGUGGGCACGUCCCUGGCUCAGGCCACAAGCCCCUGUAUGUGCAGCCAGCCCUGGACCACCCUGCCAGGCUGUCCGCAUGAGCCCCAGGAUGGAAGGGCACCUUCUCCCUCCUUCGUUCCCCUGUCUGGGCCCCCAGUAUGGCCAAGGCAAGCACCGGGUACACGGAGGGGUCACCAAGGACCUGGUGGCGCUGGGAGGGGCUCUGUGGCCUGGCCGUGGGCCCCCUCCUGACUCAUCUGCACCUGGCUGGGCCCACAGAGGUGAACUUCCCAGCCUGCCCAGAGCCUCCAGUACUCUUCACCCAGCACGCCCCCUCAGGCUCACCCUCUGGCCCUGAGGCCACCUCCUCUGAAAGCCUUCCUUGAUUUCUCCCAGCACAGUGAAAAUCUGGACAGGCCAAUGCACCCCCAGGCACUGUGAUCUCAGUGGGCACUUGCCCUUUCUUCCUGGAACAGGGGCAAGGGAUGGGCACACCGAGGCAGGGAGCUCACAGCACUGGGGAGAGGGACGGGCCUACCGAGGCUGGGAGCUCACAGCAGCGGUCCUCAUCGGCCCAGGUGUCACUGCACACGAUCUGCAGCCUCUGAAGCUGAAACUGCAGUGCAGGGGAGCUCAGUCCCGGAGCUCAGAGAGGCCGCUAGCCCCGUCAGCCAGGCCCAGCAGGGUGAGACCCCACUCACCGCGGCG